AGUUAUAGUUUAUUUGAUAGUACCUUACUACUUGGAUAACCGUGGUAAUUCUAGAGCUAAUACAUGCAAACAGCCCCGACUUCGGAAGGGGUGUAUUUAUUAGAUAAAAAACCAAUGCCCUCCGGGGCUCUUUGGUGAUUCAUGAUAACUUCUCAGAUCGCAUGGCCCUGCGCCGGCGACGGUUCAUUCAAAUUUCUGCCCUAUCAACUUUCGAUGGUAAGGUAUUGGCUUACCAUGGUUUCAACGGGUAACGGGGAAUUAGGGUUCGAUUCCGGAGAGCCCGCCGGAGGAACGGCGAGCACAUCCAAGGAAGGCAGCAGGCGCGCAAAUUACACAAUGCCAAUACGGCGAUGUAGUGACAAUAAAUACUGAUACAGGGCUCUUUUGGGUCUUGUAAUUGGAAUGAGUACAAUUUAAACCUCUUAACGAGGAACAAUUGGAGGGCAAGUCUGGUGCCAGCAGCCGCGGUAAUUCCAGCUCCAAUAGCGUAUAUUAAAGUUGUUGCAGUUAAAAAGCUCGUAGUUGAACCUUUGGCCUGGCUGGCAGGUCCGCCUCACCGCGUGCACUUGUCCGGCCGGGCCUUUUCUUCUGGAGAACCGCAUGCCCUUUACUGGGUGUGUUGGGGACCAGGACUUUUACUUUGAAAAAAUUAGAGUGUUCAAAGCAGGCCUUUGCUCGAAUACGUUAGCAUGGAAUAAUAGAAUAGGACGUGCGGUCCUAUUUUGUUGGUUUCUAGGACCGCCGUAAUGAUUAAUAGGGACAGUCGGGGGCAUCAGUAUUCAAUUGUCAGAGGUGAAAUUCUUGGAUUUAUUGAAGACUAACUACUGCGAAAGCAUUUGCCAAGGAUGUUUUCAUUAAUCAGUGAACGAAAGUUAGGGGAUCGAAGACGAUCAGAUACCGUCGUAGUCUUAACCAUAAACUAUGCCGACUAGGGAUCGGGCGGUGUUUCUAUUGUGACCCGCUCGGCACCUUACGAGAAAUCAA
rnacentral:rRNA from 1 species